rnacentral:rRNA from 1 species
AUUGAACGCUUGCGGCAUGCUUUACACAUGCAAGUCGAACGGUAACAGGGAGCUUGCUCCGCUGACGAGUGGCGAACGGGUGAGUAAUGCGGCGGAACGUGCCCAGUAGUGGGGGAUAACGCAGCGAAAGUUGUGCUAAUACCGCAUACGUACUGAGGUAGAAAGUGGGGGACCUUCGGCCCUCACGCUACUCGAGCGGCCGACGUCUGAUUAGCUAGUUGGUGAGGUAAAGGCUCACCAAGGCGACCAUCAGUAGCGGGUCUGAGAGGAUGAUCCGCCACACUGGGACUGAGACACGGCCCAGACUCCUACGGGAGGCAGCAGUGGGGAAUUUUGGACAAUGGGCGCAAGCCUGAUCCAGCCAUGCCGCGUGUCUGAAGAAGGCCUUCGGGUUGUAAAGGACUUUUGUCCGGGAGCAAAUGCCUGGUGUUAAUAGCACUGGGAGCUGAGAGUACCGGAAGAAUAAGCACCGGCUAACUACGUGCCAGCCGCCGCCGUAACAC